GUGUAGGAACAACGAGUUGCUCCACCUGGACAACGCUACUGCUGCUACUGGUGACCACUCCAACCGGCCACCACUCCGAGCUGCUGCUGCUGGUGAGGAACAAAGACGGUGGGAAGAGCUGCACCUCUUGCUAGUGGGUUGCGACCAAGCCAUGCUCUUGCUCGUGCCGGCCCCGGACAAAGACCACCGCCGCCGACACGCUGUAAGCACCCCUGCCCUGCUAGCGACAGGAUGGCCAAAGGACUGAAAAAAGAAAGAAAUUAAUUAUCCUGCUGCGUGUGAGCAACAGACUCCACAAGGAUUGAUCAGUAUGAGGUGUUCGCACAGAUUGGGAAAUGAGCAUGGACAAGUAAGAGGUGUUGGAGCGGAUUGCUAAAGGAGAAUUUGACUCUGCUCUGUUAGUGAGGCACAAGGUAUGUGCUGAAGAAGAUCCAUCUUGCGCCACAAACUGACCGCAGUCACCGGUCUGCCUAAAAGGAGGUUAUUUAUGUCAUUCUUCAUACAAAACAUGUCGUGGUGGUUGUAGCGCCGGUGGCUCCAUUUUGGUGAGCUUCCCUUCUCUGCU